GACGAACGCUGGCGGCGUGCUUAACACAUGCAAGUCGAACGCUGAAGCUUGGUGCUUGCACUGGGUGGGUGAGUGGCGAACGGGUGAGUAAUACGUGAGUAACCUGCCCUUGACUCUGGGAUAAGCCUGGGAAACUGGGUCUAAUACUGGAUACGACAUGUCACCGCAUGGUGGUGUGUGGAAAGGGUUUUACUGGUUUUGGAUGGGCUCACGGCCUAUCAGCUUGUUGGUGGGGUAAUGGCUCACCAAGGCGACGACGGGUAGCCGGCCUGAGAGGGUGACCGGCCACACUGGGACUGAGACACGGCCCAGACUCCUACGGGAGGCAGCAGUGGGGAAUAUUGCACAAUGGGCGGAAGCCUGAUGCAGCGACGCCGCGUGAGGGAUGACGGCCUUCGGGUUGUAAACCUCUUUCAGAACGGAAGAAGCGAAAGUGACGGUACGUGCAGAAGAAGCGCCGGCUAACUACG
rnacentral:rRNA from 1 species